rnacentral:rRNA from 1 species
AUUGAACGCUGGCGGCAGGCCUAACACAUGCAAGUCGAGCGGGGUUUUCGGACCUAGCGGCGGACGGGUGAGUAAUGCGUAGGAAGCUACCCGAUAGAGGGGGAUACCAGUUGGAAACGACUGUUAAUACCGCAUAAUGUCUACGGACCAAAGUGUGGGACCUUCGGGCCACAUGCUAUCGGAUGCGCCUACGUGGGAUUAGCUAGUUGGUGAGGGAAUGGCUCACCAAGGCGACGAUCCCUAGCUGGUUUGAGAGGAUGAUCAGCCACACUGGAACUGAGACACGGUCCAGACUCCUACGGGAGGCAGCAGUGGGGAAUAUUGGACAAUGGGCGCAAGCCUGAUCCAGCCAUGCCGCGUGUGUGAAGAAGGCCUUCGGGUUGUAAAGCACUUUCAGUAGGGAGGAAGAGUGUUGUGUUAAUAGCACAGCAUUUUGACGUUACCUACAGAAGAAGCACCGGCUAACUCUGUGCCAGCCGCCGCCGUAAUAC